rnacentral:misc_RNA from 1 species
GAUGAAGAACGUAGCGAAAUGCGAUAAGUAGUGUGAAUUGCAGAAUUCAGUGAAUCAUCGAAUCUUUGAACGCACAUUGCGCCCCUUGGUAUCCCGAGGGGCAUGCCUGUUCGAGCGUCAUUUCACCACUCAAGCCUGGCUUGGUGUUGGGCGACGUCCCCUUUAGGGACGCGCCUCGAAACGCUCGGCGGCGCGGCACCGGCUUUAAGCGUAGCAGAAUCUUUCGCUUUGGAAGUCGGGGCCCCGCCUGCCGGAAUGCCUACUUGUAAGGUUGACCUCGGAUCAGGCAGGGAUACCCGCUGAACUUAAGCAUAUCAAUAAGCGGAGGA